rnacentral:rRNA from 1 species
AUGCUCAGAAAAAUGAAGAAACGGAAGCAUGAACAUGAUGAGGUUCCUCACACAAGCCCAGCCCUUCCAUCUGCUCAAGUCCAGCAACCACAGCUACAACCAACUGUGUCCAAUAACCGCUGCUUUCUUCAUUAUCUACCGGAUUUGAGGCAGCCCAAGGAAAUCGCAUAUAAUUCUUGUCAACUGAAACCCAAGGUUGAGGCAAGUGAUUACUUCGAUUCUCCGUCAGCAAAAUCAAUAGGCAAGUUCUUCUCCGAAGCUGGACCUGAGCCUGGUGUUCUCCAUUCAUCAUCUUUGAGGGAGAUGGUUGUGUUUCCCCAUGGGCCUGGGGCUGUAAUGCCUACGUACGAAGCUGUUCUGCAGGAGCAACUAAGAGAAACUGAGAACCGCGCAAAGGAACUCAAGCAAGAGUGGCAAACAAGUGGCUGCACUGUAAUUGUGGAUAGUUGGAAGAGCAAGUGUGACAAAAGCUUCGUAAGUGUCCUGGUGCACUGCAGCAAAGGUACGCAGUUCCUCAGAUCCAUUGACGUCUCUGAAAUCACUGAGGACUUCGAUGAGCUAGAAUCAAUGCUUUCUUGCGUGGUUGAAGAUGUUGGUGCCCAUAACAUUGUUCAGAUUGUCAUGAAUGACGUGUCACCCCAUAUGCAGAUGGCACGGCAGUAUGUGCUAAAUAAACAUGACAGUUUUUUCUUCGUGCUAUGUGCUGACCAUUGCAUCAACCUUCUACUUGAGAAAAUAGCAGCGCUCGAGCAUGUCAGUGAAGUCCUAAUGAAGGCAAGGGAAAUUACAAGGUUUUUAUAUGGCCAUGCACUGCCAAUGAAAUUGAAACGAUAUGUUCAGGAGGAGAUUUUGAGCAGUUCUUAUCUGAAAUUUGUGGCAGUGUUCAUCACAUUAGAGAGGUUAGUUUCUGCAAGAGUAGGUCUGGUGCAGAUGUUCAGCUCGCCUGAAUGGGUUCCCUCGGGUUGGGCUUGUCUUGAUUUGUUCGAGCGUAUCCAGAGCAUAGUAAAGACAGACGAUGCAUUUUGGCAUGCUGCUGCCAAAGUCGUGAAGGUUACAAGCCCACUUGUCAGAGUGUUGUAUAAACUGGAAUCUGAUAUCUGUCCGAUGGGUAUCUUGUAUGAAGCCAUGCAUGGUGCAAAAGAAGAGAUAUGUGUCAAUAUUGGAGAUGAAAGUGAGUUUUAUUUGCGUAUAAUUGACAAGAUAUGGGAUGGUUACUUGCAUAACCCUCUCCAUGCUGCUGGUCCGAUGCUAAACCCAAGGAUCUUCUACGCAGCUGGAUUCCACCCUUAUACUGUGAUCAGCAGUGGCAUCGCGGCCUGUAUAAUCCAACUGGGCAAGGCUCAUUACAAUCCCAUAAAAGCAUUAGCACAAUUGGAAGUGUAUGAAAAGAAAUUGGGCUAUUUCGAUACAGAUCCAGCAAAGCAGCAAAUAAUGGAAUUACCACAAGUUAAAUGGUGGUCGAAGCACGGGGCUUGCGUGCCCGACCUGCGGACCCUUGCGAGGCGUGUCCUGAGCCAGACGUGCUUCGGCGCCACCAGGUACAACAUCGACUGGAGCCUGUCGGAGAAGCUGCACGCCGAGUGGGACGAGAUGAUGCUGCCCGAACAGGAGAGGUUCCGGCAGAAGGAGUACGUCCACUACAACAGCGUCCUCGCCCGCUCCUCCCCACUCCUGCACGGCUCUUCCGUGAAGCAGCACGACAGGGUCACCUUGGUGCUGCAGGACUGGAUCAGACCGCAGAAACAGGCCGCCUGUCGCCACUGA